ensembl:processed_transcript Gm16754 predicted gene, 16754
CUGAAUCACCACAACCUCGCCCUUGGAUGAUAGCCGAAGCCUUUCGCAUUUUGCCUAGGAUUCCCCGAUGCACGCCUGUCUCUAGCCAAGCCUGUUGAUCUAAGAGGCAGGGUCUCCAAGACUCAGCCAGUAGGGAGAGCUGGGCGAAUGGAUCCAAUCUGAGAUAGUGCUCCUGUGCGGUAAGUGUUUUAUCCACUGGGCCAUCUCCCCGGACCACUGUGAGGAUUUGGUUUUUGUUUUUUGUUGUUGUUGUUUUGCUUAAAGACAAGAUCUUGGGCUGGCAAAAUGGCUCAGCAGGUAAGGAUACCCACUAAGCCUGAGUUGAUCGAUUCCCAGCUGACUCCUUCAAGUUAGUUGUUCUCUCUCUCUCUCUCUCUCUCUCUCUCUCUCUCUCUCUCUCUUUCUCUUUAACUUAAUAAAAUCAGGGGCUAGAGAGAUGGCUCAGCAGUUAAGAACACUGGCUGCUCUUCCAAAGGUCCUGAGUUCAAAUCCCAGCAACCACAUGGUGGCUCACAACCAUCUGUAAUGAGAUCUGACGCCCUCUUCUGGUGUGUCUAAAGACAGCUACAGUGUAC